CACGUAGGGUGCGAGCGUUGUCCGGAAUUAUUGGGCGUAAAGAGCUCGUAGGCGGUGUGUCGCGUCGGCCGUGAAAACCUGCAGCUUAACUGUGGGCUUGCGGUCGACACGGGCAUCACUGGAGUUCGGCAGGGGAGACUGGAAUUCCUGGUGUAGCGGUGAAAUGCGCAGAUAUCAGGAGGAACACCGGUGGCGAAGGCGGGUCUCUGGGCCGAUACUGACGCUGAGGAGCGAAAGCGUGGGGAGCGAACAGG
rnacentral:rRNA from 1 species